rnacentral:misc_RNA from 1 species
GUGCGGCAAUAAUAAUUGCAACAACCAAAUCUUAAACUUUCAAGAACUUGACUAGGACCAGAAUACUUCUGCCUUCCCAAUUCUGUGAUCCUGAGCUACAGAAAGAUGGAGUCUUUAGUUAGCUAUUCAAAGACCAGCUGCAGCUGGCAAUGAACUGCUUCAGUACUCCAUAAGUGUAUAUCAGGAAUGGAAGGUCAAAAGAAGUCAUGGUCCACGAACUGAAGUAAAACAGAAACAGCCAGUGGAUUGAUCU